rnacentral:rRNA from 1 species
AGCCAGACUCCUACGGGAGGCAGCAGUGAGGAAUAUUGGUCAAUGGGCGAGAGCCUGAACCAGCCAAGUCGCGUGAGGGAUGACUGCCCUAUGGGUUGUAAACCUCUUUUGUAUGGGGGGAAUAAGCUUUACGAGUAGAGUGAUGACAGUACCAUACGAAUAAGCAUCGGCUAACUCCGUGCCAGCAGCCGCGGUAAUACGGAGGAUGCGAGCGUUAUCCGGAUUUAUUGGGUUUAAAGGGGGCGUAGAUGGGUUGUUAAGUCAGUUGUGAAAGUUUGCGGCUCAACCGUAAAAUUGCAAUUGAUACUGGCAGUCUUGAGUACAGUUGAGGUAGGCGGAAUUCGUGGUGUAGCGGUGAAAUGCUUAGAUAUCACGAAGAACCCCGAUUGCGAAGGCAGCUUACUAAACUGUGACUGACAUUGAUGCUCGAAAGUGUGGGUAUCAAACAGGAUUAGAUACCCUUGUAGC